rnacentral:rRNA from 1 species
CACGUAGGGGGCGAGCGUUGUCCGGAAUUAUUGGGCGUAAAGAGCUCGUAGGCGGUGUGUCGCGUCGGCCGUGAAAACCUGCAGCUUAACUGUGGGCUUGCGGUCGAUACGGGCAUCACUGGAGUUCGGCAGGGGAGACUGGAAUUCCUGGUGUAGCGGUGAAAUGCGCAGAUAUCAGGAGGAACACCGGUGGCGAAGGCGGGUCUCUGGGCCGAUACUGACGCUCAUGCACGAAAGCGUGGGGAGCAAACAGG